rnacentral:rRNA from 1 species
GACGAACGCUGGCGGCGUGCCUAAUACAUGCAGGUAGAACGCUGAAGGAGGAGCUUGCUUCUCUGGAUGAGUUGCGAACGGGUGAGUAACGCGUAGGUAACCUGCCUGGUAGCGGGGGAUAACUAUUGGAAACGAUAGCUAAUACCGCAUAAGAGUAGAUGUUGCAUGACAUUUGCUUAAAAGGUGCAAUUGCAUCACUACCAGAUGGACCUGCGUUGUAUUAGCUAGUUGGUGAGGUAACGGCUCACCAAGGCGACGAUACAUAGCCGACCUGAGAGGGUGAACGGCCACACUGGGACUGAGACACGGCCCAGACUCCUACGGGAGGCAGCAGUAGGGAAUCUUCGGAAAUGGACGGAAGUCUGACCGAGCAACGCCGGGUGAGUGAAGAAGGUUUUCGGAUCGUAAAGCUCUGUUGUAAGAGAAGAAAGAGUGUGAGAGUGGAAAGUUCACACUGUGACGGUAUCUUACCAGAAAGGGACGGCUAACUACGUG